UUAACACAUGCAAGUCGAACGAUGACGACCGAGCUUGCUCGGUCUGAUUAGUGGCGAACGGGUGAGUAACACGUGAGCAACCUGCCCUUCACUCUGGGAUAACCUCGGGAAAUCGGGGCUAAUACCGGAUAUGAGCUCCUGUCGCAUGGCGGGUGUUGGAAAGUUUUUCGGUGAAGGAUGGGCUCGCGGCCUAUCAGUUUGUUGGUGAGGUAGUGGCUCACCAAGGCGAUGACGGGUAGCCGGCCUGAGAGGGCGACCGGCCACACUGGGACUGAGACACGGCCCAGACUCCUACGGGAGGCAGCAGUGGGGAAUAUUGCACAAUGGGCGAAAGCCUGAUGCAGCGACGCCGCGUGAGGGAUGACGGCCUUCGGGUUGUAAACCUCUUUCAGCAGGGAAGAAGCGAAAGUGACGGUACCUGCAGAAGAAGCGCCGGCUAACUACGUGCCAGCAGCCGCGGUAAUACGUAGGGCGCAAGCGUUGUCCGGAAUUAUUGGGCGUAAAGAGCUUGUAGGUGGCUUGUCGCGUCUGCCGUGAAAACCCGAGGCUCAACCUCGGGCGUGCGGUGGGUACGGGCAGGCUAGAGUGUGGUAGGGGAGACUGGAACUCCUGGUGUAGCGGUGAAAUGCGCAGAUAUCAGGAAGAACACCGAUGGCGAAGGCAGGUCUCUGGGCCAUUACUGACACUGAGAAGCGAAAGCAUGGGGAGCGAACAGGAUUAGAUACCCUGGUAGUCCAUGCCGUAAACGUUGGGCACUAGAUG
rnacentral:rRNA from 1 species